CCUAAGGUAGCGUAAUCAUUUGGCUUUUAAAUGGAGUCAGGUAUGAAUGGGAUCACCUGGUGAUACUGUCUCUGAGUUGUUUUAUUUAAUUUACUGUUCAAGUGAAAAAGCUUGAAUUUUGUUUAAAGGGACGAGAAGACCCUUAGAAUUUCCUCUCCUAAUGGAGUUUUGCUGGGGCGGCAAGAGAAGAAGUGAAAACUUCUCUGUUCUACAAGCCGAUUAUUUUAAGUGCGAAUAAAUUACCUGAGGGAUAACAGCAUAAUUCUAUUGAUGAGUUUGUGACCUCGAUGUUGGACUAGGAAACUAGCAGGCUAGCCGUUU
rnacentral:rRNA from 1 species